UAAAAAUAAAUAAAUAAGGAAAAGAAGACUGACUCAUCCAAUUAAAAAAAAAAAAGAAAUUCUCUUGUCCUGGAUUCAAGAGAAUGGAUGAAGUAAAAGGAUGAGGAAGAACAAGAAGAGGAAAUGUGAGCGUGGAGAGGGUAGGAGGAAGAGCAGAAGGCAAAUAAGUGUAUGUGCUUCCCUUGCCAUCCCUGACUUUUUUUUUUUUUUUUUUUUUUUGCGCUUCAGGAAAACCCAAAAGCCAGAGAAGAGCACGGAGGUGGUCACCACUGCAUGUGAACAAAAAGGUGGAGAGAAGAGAAUGGUGGUAAUCUGCGCAGGCAACUGGAGGGUGACCUGAGUGCAUCUCGCCAGGGAACAGUCCCUGUUCCAUAGAACCCCUGAAGAUGCCAGGCUCUUAUGUUUAGAUGGGGGGGCCGAAGGCGUCUGUGGGGUCACCACAUACAUCACUCCUGGAGGUGUUGUUCACUCUUUGUAAAGAGUGUCCCUGGUGAGGUUCCACAUCUCCCUCUGCAGGACCCAGCCUUGCCCUCCCAACCCGCCGAGGUCAGCAGGCAACAUCCCCAGUUAAUCACCAGGUUCUGGUCUGACACCUGUGAGGACUGUGACCUGGAGGCCUCAGCCUGAGACUCAGAGGGGAUGGAGCCUGUGCAGCGUCUGGCAGCUUAAAUGAGACACGAAGCCAAGGAAGGAGGGCCGCCUCUCUGCUCCCCCUCCGCUCCUGAGUCAGCUAGUGAGUGCCGGUUACUUCCUGUCGGAGCUGUACAGAUUUAGCAUAAAUUUUAGAUAUAGGUCUUACUUUUAACAGUGAAAGGCUGUUACAUCAAGCAAAA